UACGUAGGGUGCAAGCGUUUAAUCGGAAUACUGGGCGUAAAGCGUGCGCAGGCGGUGAUGUAAGACAGAUGUGAAAUCCCCGGGCUCAACCUGGGAACUGCAUUUGUGACUGCAUCGCUGGAGUACGGCAGAGGGGGAUGGAAUUCCGCGUGUAGCAGUGAAAUGCGUAGAUAUGCGGAGGAACACCGAUGGCGAAGGCAAUCCCCUGGGCCUGUACUGACGCUCAUGCACGAAAGCGUGGGGAGCAAACAGG
rnacentral:rRNA from 1 species